CGCACCUGGAACUGGAUAAGAAUUCGAAGCUUCGGUUCCCGGGGAUCCUCCUAGAGAUUUCUGGUUGAUCCUGCCAGUAGUCAUAUGCUUGUCUCAAAGAUUAAGCCAUGCAUGUCUAAGUAUAAGCAAUCUAUACAGUGAAACUGCGAAUGGCUCAUUAAAUCAGUUAUCGUUUAUUUGAUAGUACCUUACUACUUGGAUAACCGUGGUAAUUCUAGAGCUAAUACAUGCUAAAAAUCCCGACCUCUGGAAGGGAUGUAUUUAUUAGAUAAAAAACCAAUGCCUUCGGGCUCCUUGGUGAUUCAUGAUAACUUUACGAAUCGCAUGGCCUUGUGCCGGCGAUGGUUCAUUCAAAUUUCUGCCCUAUCAACUUUCGAUGGUAGGAUAGUGGCCUACCAUGGUUUCAACGGGUAACGGGGAAUUAGGGUUCUAUUCCGGAGAGGGAGCCUGAGAAACGGCUACCACAUCCAAGGAAGGCAGCAGGCGCGCAAAUUACCCAAUCCCGACACGGGGAGGCAGUGACAAUAAAUACUGAUACAGGGCCCUUUCGGGUCUUGUAAUCGGAAUGAGUACAAUUUAAAUCCCUUAACGAGGAACAAUUGGAGGGCAAGUCUGG
rnacentral:rRNA from 1 species